rnacentral:rRNA from 1 species
UACGUAGGGCGCAAGCGUUGUCCGGAAUUAUUGGGCGUAAAGGGCGCGUAGGCGGUCACGCACGUCCGUUGUGAAAUCGCUCGGCUCAACUGGGCGGGGUCAGCGGAUACGGCGUGGCUGGAGCAAGCUAGGGGGCAAUGGAAUUCCCGGUGUAGUGGUGGAAUGCGUAGAUAUCGGGAGGAACACCAGUGGCGAAGGCGGUUGCCUGGAGCUUUGCUGACGCUGAUGCGCGAAAGCGUGGGGAGCGAUCCGG